rnacentral:rRNA from 1 species
CAGCAGCCACGGUAAAACGAAGGGGGCUAGCGUUGCUCGGAAUGACUGGGCGUAAAGGGCGCGUAGGCGGAUUGUUUAGUUAGGCGUGAAAUUCCUGGGCUUAACCUGGGGACUGCGCUUAAUACAGGCAGUCUAGAGUGAGGAAGAGGGUUGUGGAAUUCCCAGUGUAGAGGUGAAAUUCGUAGAUAUUGGGAAGAACACCGGUGGCGAAGGCGGCAACCUGGUCCUUGACUGACGCUGAGGCGCGAAAGCGUGGGGAGCAAACAGGAUUAGAUACCCCUGUAGUCCCUGUCUCUUAUAC